rnacentral:rRNA from 1 species
CAGUAGCCGCGGUAAAACGUAGGGUGCAAGCGUUAAUCGGAAUUACUGGGCGUAAAGGGCUCGCAGGCGGUUUCUUAAGUCUGAUGUGAAAGCCCCCGGCUCAACCGGGGAGGGUCAUUGGAAACUGGGAAACUUGAGUGCAGAAGAGGAGAGUGGAAUUCCACGUGUAGCGGUGAAAUGCGUAGAGAUGUGGAGGAACACCAGUGGCGAAGGCGACUCUCUGGUCUGUAACUGACGCUGAGGAGCGAAAGCGUGGGGAGCGAACAGGAUUAGAUACCCCCGUAGUCCCUGUCUCUUAUAC